CAGUAGCCGCGGGAAUACGUAGGGUGCAAGCGUUAAUCGGAAUUACUGGGCAUAAAGCGUGCGCAGGCGGUUCUAUAAGACAGAUGUGAAAUCCCCGGGCUCAACCUGGGAACUGCAUUUGUGACUGUAGAGCUGGAGUGCGGCAGAGGGGGAUGGAAUUCCGCGUGUAGCAGUGAAAUGCGUAGAUAUGCGGAGGAACACCGAUGGCGAAGGCAAUCCCCUGGGCCUGCACUGACGCUCAUGCACGAAAGCGUGGGGAGCAAACAGGAUUAGAUACCCCUGUAGUCCCUGUCUCUUAUAC
rnacentral:rRNA from 1 species